UUUGUCCUGUACCGCAUGAUUUCUGCCCCUAUGCUCCAUCUUGUGUGCUGGCGGAAGCCACUUCCGGCCAAGUUGCCAUCUUUGGUGAGGUGCUCUGGAAAACAGAGCUUUGGCCAUAGCUUCCGCUGCCUGAUUCCGACACCGAUCCCGCGCUUUCAGCAAUUUCCCGUGGCAUUUCCUCAUUUUGGGGGACGGGUGAUGGGAUUAGCGGCGCCCGGGGCGAGCGGGACACGCGCGGGUGAUGCCAGGCGAAUGCUGCUCCAUCCUUGCCGCGCCUCUAAGGACCCUCUGACGCUGAGCAGCACGUUUGUGGUGGUGUAGUGGGUUAGGUCGCAGACUGCUAACCUAAAACUUUUAUGAGCUCCCUGUGAUUAUCUGGAACACGGAUGAUGUGAUCCUUGAUUAUGUCAAUCCAGUAACAGGAGAGCCUUCUAGCAACAUCUCUGUGAAAAGGCUCCAUCAAGCUGAAGCUGCCUGACAUGGUGUGGGCAGCCAAGAGCUCUGAACAUUGCACCAUCAAAAUGAAGAAUGCAACACCUCAAUUCUCCAUCUUCCAAAAUAAGUGCAUAAGGGGCUGGUGGCCCUUCAUCAAACUCAGAGAUCAAGAAGAUGACAAGAGAGAGGAAAGGGAGUUCAAGAAGAAAAAGAAAUGGAGCAUCUCAGUCAAACCAGAGGACAUGGAAUUCACAGACCCCAGGUGGGAGCAAGUACCUCCUGAUGGUAAGAUGGGGAGCUGGCACUGUGAGCAGAGCCAGUGUUUUGCUCCACCUUGAUAUGGCAGUCUGUCCUACAUGCACAACCUACAAGGGCAGCAGUGACCCAGCUUUUACAGUGUGGCCGCAAGCUUCUGCUUAUCCUUUCAGGACAGCCCCCACAAGUUCUGGCAUGCGAGCUCCAGCAGGGGGGCACCCUCUCAGCUUAGCGUUCGCAGAGAGGGUACUAAAGGCUCGAAGCCUAUGUAGUUGCAGAGACUUUGGGCCACAAGAGGCAGAAGAAGAAAGCUGGACUCUGGUCAUGGCUGCAAACCAGGUUUAUUGUAAGACAACAAACCCAGGGGAGACCAGACUGCCAAACUGGGGAAGGGCUGACAAGGGUUUUUAAAGGAAGGUGGGAACAGGGGUGGAGCCUGCCACCAACCAAUGGAGGUACAGGGGGGAGUGGAGAAAGGGAGGACACCUUUGGAGGACCAAUAGGGGAUAUCUUGGGGAGGGCCCCUGAGCCAAUCACUUGAUGCCCUGAAGAGAAGUUUCCAGAUGGAGAGGAUGGGUUGCCGAGUGAUGGAGAGUACCAGGGAGGGACAUGAGGAGAGGACACAUAGGUUGGCAGGGUAACUGGGGAGCAGACAGGGUAACUGACACACACUGGGGAGGAGGAGACAAUUGGGCAGAAUCAUUACAUACUUAAAGAGGGGGAAAAUGGAACAAUCCAAAAUACAAGGUAUAACUUAUCAUAAUUAUAACUUCAAAAGCACAACACAACACUACAGGAUCCUGAAGACUUCUUCCAUCUACUGCUUAUCCAGCACUUGUCUACCCUGAAGAACCAGCUGCCGUGGUUUGCAGGGAUGUCUGACUUAAGGUAUUCCUCUGAGCUUCUCAUAGAAGUUCCAUUAGGGGAGCUGUCUUUGUUUAGGAAUUUAGUGUUCCCACUGAAACACCCCAGAUCAUGUUCUCCUUGCUCAUUUGUACUCCAAAGCAAGAAGAGUAUGGCUCCCCAUCAGCCAGUCAGGACAGCAGCAGAAGCCUGUCCUGGGGUCUCUGCCAGCCCAAGACAGACAAGUACCAACUGACCAGGGACAGACUCGCUCCUGAUACCCCUGCUACUGGACCACUGUGUGUGCCCAAGGGUGAAUUUUGCUCAGUGCCACUCUGGGGUAGGCAGACAAAUCAGGUAGUUGGGGAGUUCAUUAAAAUACAAUUCCUUGUCUCCAAAACAUUUAGUUUUUUACCAGGCCAGUUUCCACUGGCUAUGAAGUAACACUCUGUAGCCAACGGAGAAGAAAGCUCUGAGCCAUCUGUAAGUGGAAGUGAGAGAAAAGUACCCAGUUGUGGCAGGACCUGUGGUCAGCGGACUGGCCUGUGAAGCAAUGCAUUCGACUGUGGCUCAGACAUAUUAUCCCUCCAGGGUAAGGUGGAAGCAGAGUUCCAGCUGCUGACUGUGGAGGAGGCUGACAAAAGUCCUGUUGGCUCAGGCCGAAAAGGGCCAGAACCCCUGGAAAAGACCAAGUGAGGAAUUUUGCUUCACAAAACUUACAUAUGAUGCGAGACUUUCAUAAUAAAACAUUCUCCUAUCAUCA